AACGAACGCUGGCGGCAGGCUUAACACAUGCAAGUCGAACGCCCCGCAAGGGGAGUGGCAGACGGGUGAGUAACGCGUGGGAACAUGCCCUUUCCUGCGGAAUAGCCCUGGGAAACUGGAAUUAAUACCGCAUACGCCCUACGGGGGAAAGAUUUAUCGGGGAAGGAUUGGCCCGCGUUGGAUUAGCUAGUUGGUGGGGUAAAGGCCUGCCACGGCGACGAUCCAUAGCUGGUCUGUGAGGAGGAUCCGCCACAUUGGGACUGAGACACGGCCCAAACUCCUACGGGACGCAGCAGUGGGGAAUAUUGGACAAUGGGCGCAAGCCUGAUCCAGCCAUGCCGCGUGAGUGAUGAAGGCCUUAGGGUUGUAAAGCUCUUUCACCGAUGAAGAUAAUGACGGUAGUCGGAGAAGAAGCCCCGGCUAACUUCGUGCCAGCCGCCGCGGUAAUAC
rnacentral:rRNA from 1 species